GCUCCCAGUAGACGACUGGGUUGAUAGGCCGGAGAUGGAAGACCUGUGAGGGUUGGAGUUGACCGGUACUAAUAGGCCGAGGGCUUGACCAUAU
rnacentral:rRNA from 2 species